GUGAGAAAGACAGACUCACAGAAGACAUCCUCUUAGACUGAGCGCACUUUAACAACUCCAUACUUGUCCUAUGACAAAUGCACCGCGCCUUCCUCCCCCUCUUCUCCUCUUGGGGGCGUCGAGGGCUUACCUAGACAAAGCAGCGUCAAGACCCAAGAGGCAGGGAGCGUCUCCAUCCUUCUUUCUCGGUGCAGCUUGCGGAGUGCGCGGCGGCCAGCGGGAGCAAGGUGCCUGUGGCUGAGUUGGAACCGAGCUGAUCCAGUCAAGGUCUUUGAGUGUCCGCACAUUUUGUUGUUGGAAAGCAAUACUGCAUUCUUUUCGUGGUGAAGACUUAAACAUUUGAAUGGAAAUCCUUGAAAAGCCUGCUCAGUCUUUCUACCCCGGCUCAUGAUGAAGGAGGCUUAAGACUAGUUAACUAUUGGAGAAGAUAAGGGGCGUGUUAAGCACAGUGCCUAGAAGAUGGAGUGGCCUAGAUGACCUGGCAUAGAUGAAGUGACAUAAACGGAGUGACAUAGAUCAAAUGGCAUAAAUCCAUAGUAGCAUAGAUGGUCUUCCAUUUCAGGAACAAAUCGUAGCUUAAAAAGUUGAUGAAGCCUUUUCUAUGGACUUUCGUUAUUGAAAACCUCUGGGUUCAUUCCAAAGGGAUAGCUGACUUUGUACUGGUCUUCCUUAGUUCCCCCUGACAAGAACAUCAUGGGGUUUCUAGAAAUAAAAACCAUUGAAAGGUGGGGCCUUUAAGACUUCAGUCCCAAAUAAACCCUCACUCUCAUCCUAAUCUGCACAACCUCCAGGGAACUUAGAGACAUGUGCUUGUUUCAGCAGCGACUGCCUCAGGUGGGUGCAUUUCACCAACUCGGAAUUCAUCUAGUUCUCUAGAUUUGAAGGGAGGUGCUAUUUGCCUGGUGGAGUGGCUGAAGUUCUCUGAAGGUUUUUGCUCUAAGGUGGGGAGUGAUAACUUCUAAGCACUUUACACAUUGGGAUUGAAAACUGCUGUACCUUAAGCAGGAAAGAGGCUAGUAAGUUAUGUCAGUCAAUCCCAUUCUUAGCAGCAUUCUCCAAAUAAGCUCAAACUCAUGGAUUUUCCAAUGUUUAAAAUACUCCAUUAAAGAUCUUUAUAAGAAGCCAAAGGUAGCAGGACAUUCUGCUCAUAAAGCCAGAAAUAAUGAAGAUAAGACAGGAUGAUUGGUUUAAAAUCAACGCCUCUCUGGUCUACAUAAUAAGUUUUAGCCUAACCCAGAUUUUAUAGUAAGACCUUGGGAAGACAGGCCCCUUGGUUUUGCAAACUUUAUAUGCCUCAGUAUGGGGGAACGCCAUGGCCAAGAAGUGGGAGUGGGUGUGUAGGGGAGUGGGGGGAGGAUCUGGGGGACUUUUGGGAUAGCAUUUGAAGUGUAAAUGAAGAAAAUACCUAAUUUAAUAAAAGAAAUAAGAUCCUUAUGAGAUUGAAUAAACUUGCCACUAAAAGCAAUAAAAUGAUCAUUAUUCAACCACUGUGAUUGUAUUUUCUUUUUUGAACACACACACACACUCUCUCUCUCUCUCUAAAAAUAUUACCU